rnacentral:rRNA from 1 species
GACAGGCUUAACACAUGCAAGUCGAGGGGCAGCAUGAUUUGUAGCAAUACAGAUUGAUGGCGACCGGCGCACGGGUGAGUAACGCGUAUGCAACUUACCUAUCAGAGGGGGAUAGCCCGGCGAAAGUCGGAUUAAUACCCCAUAAAACAGGGGUCCCGCAUGGGAAUAUUUGUUAAAGAUUCAUCGCUGAUAGAUAGGCAUGCGUUCCAUUAGGCAGUUGGCGGGGUAACGGCCCACCAAACCGACGAUGGAUAGGGGUUCUGAGAGGAAGGUCCCCCACAUUGGUACUGAGACACGGACCAAACUCCUACGGGAGGCAGCAGUGAGGAAUAUUGGUCAAUGGCCGAGAGGCUGAACCAGCCAAGUCGCGUGAAGGAAGAAGGAUCUAUGGUUUGUAAACUUCUUUUAUAGGGGAAUAAAGUGGAGGACGUGUCCUUUUUUGUAUGUACCCUAUGAAUAAGCAUCGGCUAACUCCGUGCCAGCAGCCGCGGUAAUACGGAGGAUGCGAGCGUUAUCCGGAUUUAUUGGGUUUAAAGGGUGCGUAGGUGGUGAUUUAAGUCAGCGGUGAAAGUUUGUGGCUCAACCAUAAAAUUGCCGUUGAAACUGGGUUACUUGAGUGUGUUUGAGGUAGGCGGAAUGCGUGGUGUAGCGGUGAAAUGCAUAGAUAUCACGCAGAACUCCGAUUGCGAAGGCAGCUUACUAAACCAUAACUGACACUGAAGCACGAAAGCGUGGG